UACGUAGGGGGCGAGCGUUGUCCGGAUUCAUUGGGCGUAAAGCGCUUUAAGGCGGUUCGGUAAGUCGGGUGUGAAACCUCCAGGCUCAACCUGGAGACGCCACUCGAUACUGCUGUGACUAGAGUUCGGUAGGGGAUCACGGAAUUCCUGGUGUAGCGGUGAAAUGCGCAGAUAUCAGGAGGAACACCGAUGGCGAAGGCAGGUCUCUGGGCAUUAACUGACGCUGAGACACGAAAGCGUGGGUAGCAAACAGG
rnacentral:rRNA from 1 species